UAAGCUCCACAAAUAAAGUUUCACACUUUUUUUAGAAAUAUC
rnacentral:tRNA from 1 species